rnacentral:rRNA from 1 species
CCUACGGGUGGCAGCAGUGGGGAAUAUUGGACAAUGGGCGAAAGCCUGAUCCAGCCAUGCCGCGUGUGUGAAGAAGGCCUUCGGGUUGUAAAGCACUUUCAGUGGGGAAGAAAGCCUUGGGGCUAAUACCCUCGAGGAAGGACAUCACCCACAGAAGAAGCACCGGCUAACUCCGUGCACAGCAGCCGCGGUAAUACGGAGGGUGCGAGCGUUAAUCGGAAUUACUGGGCGUAAAGCGCGCGUAGGCGGUCUGAUAAGCCGGUUGUGAAAGCCCCGGGCUCAACCUGGGAACGGCAUCCGGAACUGUCAGGCUAGAGUGCAGGAGAGGAAGGUAGAAUUCCCGGUGUAGCGGUGAAUGCGUAGAGAUCGGGAGGAAUACCAGUGGCGAAGGCGGCCUUCUGGACUGACACUGACGCUGAGGUGCGAAAGCGUGGGUAGCAAACAGGAUUAGAUACCCGAGUAGUC